rnacentral:lncRNA from 1 species
CCACUUUAAUGAAUAAUGAUCCUUAUGGUCCAAAUUUCACUACUAUAAGAAAUUAAGAAUUAGAAAAUGCCCCUGUCACCUCCUACACCACCAAAAUGGUAUAUCAAUAACAAAAAUAGUCAUGUUCAAAUCGGAACCCAUAUAAUAUAUAGGGGGAAAUAAUAAAAUAACAUUAAUCAAAUGGUUCAAUUUUUUCAAUAUUAUUCUCCAUUCUGUUGUUUAGAUCAAGAUAUUAGUUUUUAACAUGUUGGGUUUUUCCAUAUUAACAUUGUCAUCAUAUCCAUUACUGUGGAUCUGGUCAAGCUUUACCCCCUCAUAAACGUAUUUGCCACUUCAUCGAAUUUUUGCAAGAAAAAGAAAGAAAUAACGAUUUAAUCUCCAAGUUUUAUUAAAAAACCUAAACAGUUGGACCAAACCUCCUGUCUGUCUGACAUCAAGAUAAAUCAUCAGUAAAUCAAGAAACAAAUAUAUGGUUUAGUGCUUGUUUCCCUACAAAACCAGGUAUAUUAUUAAACAUGUGAAAGUCAUAAAAAAAGUCAAGGGAGAAACCUGAUCAAAGUUGAAAGUUCAAAACUGGAUAUCCAAAUCUGAACUGCAAAGGUUUAUAAUGGAGAAGAGCAUAUAAACCUGGUCACAAUGAGCUGAUAUCAAGAAACAUCUUUGUGAAAUGUCUAAAAAAAUUAACAUACACGCUUUUAACCAUUUGGAUUUCACAUAUAUCUGGGUUUUUCCUUUCCAAGCACCAAUCAACUGAAACAUGAGCUAAUAUAAGUUAUUUUUACCUCAAAUAACGAGAGGCAUACCGUCAUGGUGGUGGCUGUCCGGUGGUGGUGAGUUGUUUGAGGUGGCGGAGAAGUCGAUGGAGGUGGUAAGGAAGGGUAGUGUCAAGUGGCAGCAGUUCUGGGGACUGGGGUUAGGGUUUUGUAGGUGCGAUGGAGGGAGCGGAGGUUGUUUGAAUAGUAUGAGUUGGCGUCGACCGGCGAUGGUGGCAACGAGGAUGGUGGUGACGGUGGGUUGAAGGCUGGUGGUGGAUGGUUACCGGAUUUGGAGAGAGAUAAAGAGAGGUGUUUAAUUUGAUUGAAACAAACAAACGUUGUGAGUUACUUUUCAAAUAUCAACCCAAUCCAUAGAGUAUUAUUUCAAACCCAUAUGGCCAUGCCAGGUGAUCGCCGUUCUGUUUGAAAUCAUGAAACCGGUCAUCGGUUUUGGUUUUUCGAUUUAUAUUUUUUUUACAGUUUGGUUUGUGGUUUUGAAAAUUUUAAAC